rnacentral:lncRNA from 1 species
AAAUUUUUGAAAAAAUACUUAUAUUAUUAGAAAGAGAAUAAAAAAUAUAAUAAACUAAAAAUUUGUAAUAAACUGUAAAAGAUUUUGAUAAAAAUUAAGCAAGAUAUGAUUAUUUUAAUUUUUUUUAUUAAUUAUGCUUAAUUUCAAUAAUUGCCAGCUUAUAAGAAGUUAAAAAACAUCAAACUCUCCAACAAACCAAUGUCCUUUUCUCUCCACAAAACCCUCAACACACAUAGAGAGGUAAUCAGUAAGUCUGAUUUGUUAAAUGCCAGUGAUGAAGAAUCGCUACAAGAAUUUGAAUCUGCAGGAGUUUCUGCUAUCUAACAUACCAUCUAUCAUGCUACCAGCAAAUUUCCACCAAAAACAUUAUUCUUAUAUUCAACACUCCUCAACUUCUUUAAAACAAUCAGCACAGGUUAUUUAUGUAGAGAAUUCCAGUCAGAUAGGUAUAUUUUUUGGAAGGAGAGGGGUGCAUAUUAGUUGACAAUCUUGGAUUCUUCAUUCAUAGUUGAUUUUUGAAUGAUGUGUUAUGUGAAACAUUUAAUUCAGAUAAGAUAACCAUUCUGUUAGUUAACAGUUCUCAUUGUUUCUUCAUUCAUUUUGUACUCACAAGUCAGUACAGGUGAUUGUCACUGCAUUUUCUGCAAUACUAAUAAGUUAAACUGAUUGAGAUGUUAUUGGGGGGAAGACAAACACUAAUCAGUAAAGACUGGAUUUUUCUCCAAUUGUUUCAUUUUCAAAUUGUUUCAUAAUGAUGAUUUGAUUUGAUUUGUUUCAUAACGAUGAUUGUUGAUUUUUCAAAUUGUUUCAUAAUUUUUCUCCAAUUGUUCGAAUGUGAAUAAGUAAGGUUCUCCUGGUAAAUUAUCAUCUAAAAUGCCUAUAAUCAAAU